GUCGAGCGGAUGAAGGGAGCUUGCUCCUGGAUUCAGCGGCGGACGGGUGAGUAAUGCCUAGGAAUCUGCCUGGUAGUGGGGGAUAACGUCCGGAAACGGGCGCUAAUACCGCAUACGUCCUGAGGGAGAAAGUGGGGGAUCUUCGGACCUCACGCUAUCAGAUGAGCCUAGGUCGGAUUAGCUAGUUGGUGGGGUAAAGGCCUACCAAGGCGACGAUCCGUAACUGGUCUGAGAGGAUGAUCAGUCACACUGGAACUGAGACACGGUCCAGACUCCUACGGGAGGCAGCAGUGGGGAAUAUUGGACAAUGGGCGAAAGCCUGAUCCAGCCAUGCCGCGUGUGUGAAGAAGGUCUUCGGAUUGUAAAGCACUUUAAGUUGGGAGGAAGGGCAGUAAGUUAUACCUUGCUGUUUUCACUUUACCAACUGAAUAAGCACCGGCUAACUGC
rnacentral:rRNA from 1 species